rnacentral:rRNA from 1 species
CACGUAGGGUGCAAGCGUUGUCCGGAAUUAUUGGGCGUAAAGGGCUCGUAGGCGGUCUGUCGCGUCGGGAGUGAAAACUCAGGGCUUAACCCUGAGCCUGCUUCCGAUACGGGCAGACUAGAGGUAUGCAGGGGAGAACGGAAUUCCUGGUGUAGCGGUGAAAUGCGCAGAUAUCAGGAGGAACACUGGUGGCGAAGGCGGUUCUCUGGGCAUUACCUGACGCUGAGGAGCGAAAGUGUGGGGAGCGAACAGG